UUGUAGAUCUAUUAUCUAUGUACUUCCUUCUUGUUCACCCUUCACUGUCUGCUUCUGCUUGUGCGCUACACGUUCACUUUGCAGUAUUAACGGUUAGACAUUUUGUGUGCAUUUUUGAUAAAAGAUUUAAAAACGUAAUAAUACAUACAAAAUUUAUAUUACUACACGCCCUGGAAUUACAACUUUAUCUGUGAUACAUUUAGGAAUAAUUGUUUUCCUGCCUUUACCAAACGAAUUUUUCCUUCAGCAGUUCAACCUACUAGUACAGUAUCACAGUGGAUUCGCCUUCUAAGUCUUAAAGGACUUUGUUGUGGAGAGGUGAGGUAACUGAAAAUGUUUGAAAAUGAAUAAGAGUUGAACAUUCUGUAAAGUUGUAGAUAAUUUUUUUUAUUUAGUACUGUAAUUAAUUCGGUUUUCUUUAUUUCUGUGUAUUAUAUAUAGAUGACAAAGGAAACUGAAAUCCAUUUCGAUGCUACUAAAAAAACAAGUUCUAGCUGUGAAUGCAGACUAUAAGUACAUAUUGAUAUGAGAGUAAAUGUGGGAAAAGGAGUUUUCAUUAAAAGUGGUAAUUGGUUACUUUUUCUUGUUCGUUUUUGUAGAUUGUCCAUGAAAAGGAAUUCAGUUAAUUUUCGAUGCUAAUGAAGCAACUGAUCCAUUUGACGUAAGGGAGAGAACUGGAAAUUAAUUUGGAAACCACCCAAACAGAUUGUCUGCAGUGGUACUCUCCUAGAUUUGGAUUGCACAUUUCACAUUUGAACGCUACUUCUUCACUUAAGAUUAUCCAAGAAAAGAGAGAGACUUAAAGUCAGCUUGGUCAUACUGAAACCAGCAAUGUCUAGAUGGGUUUCAUCUUUCCUGGAGUAUAUACUUGAUUUGCUGCUUUGUCUUCACCUUGAACCAUUAUGCAGUCAAUUUUCAACCUACGAAUGAGAGCAACUGGAGGUUUCUUUGACUUCUUUUGAAACAACAAAUUUUCUGCUAUGGUAUUCCUCCUGGAUUUGGUUUGCUUUUCACACAUGCAAACUUUGGAAUG